GGGGAAGGCUGGAUGGGACCUGCGGCUGGCUGGGGAACGCCCCCCCCUUCCAUGGCCGCCGGCGCAUCUCCACCACGGAGGUGCUCCGGGACCGGCUCUGGGAAGGCUGGGACAGCCGGUGGUGAGGGCUGGAUAGGACCUGCAUCCUUACACAUCCUGCUCCAAGGGUCCUGUGCUUGGCUGGAGAAGGAGACCCAACGACCAGGGAGCAGAGAAGUGUGGCUGUGGGCCUCAUGGUCUGAGAGCUGGAAAAGACCAGAGAGAAGAAAAUGAUGAACAGAACGACAUGGAACCUCUCCCAGGGAUGAGUUUAUGUAACUCCCUCUGCAGUUCUCUGCUUAAGGAUGAUCUGGGGAUGAGGCAGCGACCCGGUAAGCCAGGUGUUGCGUAGGAAUGAAGUCCAGCCUGUGAAGCCCAGCUUGAAGAUCUGGACUGCGCUGCCCAGGAAGACAUUUCUCCCAGAGGCUGUCCCAGUGUUCGAAGAUCAGCAGCUCUUUGAAACCCUUAUUUUUCACUCUUAUCAUCUGUGGACAUCCCUCUUGUGCCAUACCAGCCCUUCCAUGCAGUCUGUUAUCCACACUGGAAAGAAAGGAUGUAACCACUUGAGUACUAAACCUCACUCUUCGCCAGCCUGCUUCUAAUGCUGUUUGCUAGGCCGAUCUAGUCACAGGUGCCACUCCCCAGCUAGGAUGAUGAGCUGUGUGCUGCUAACCACCUAAUCCAAGACAUCAGGUGGCACAGUUUUACAGGGUGGUGUAUCAUAGUAUCUCCACCCCUACCCAAGAACUUUGGCAUUUUGAGCCAUUGAUGGAAGGAUUUCUAAACCGAGGUGAUCUGACACCUAGACUAAUUGAGCAAAAUGACUUAAUGGAAGACCCAAGCAUGCAAUUAUAAACUCAUGUUGGCUUGGGGAGCCUGGAUUAUGUCAGAGGCGGCUUUGUGGCAGGCAGGCAGGUGGACAGUCCUCAGAGCAGCAGCCAGAGAACUCAAGGCUCAUGCCUGCCCCUGACAUUCACUGUUCUGUGACCUUGGGAAAGUCACUUAUCCUUGUGAGGAUUAAUGAGUUAAUCACAGGAGAACUACUUUGAGAUUGUUGGCUGACAGGUGCUGUAUAAGUACAAAGUAUUAUUAUUAAAAUGUCACUGUGCUGGCUGCAUUUGCUCUUGAGGGCACAGAGGCAGGAAUGACAGCCCUGGGUGAAUGGAAAAGGAUUAUGUAAAACAAAGAAGUAGAGUUCUGCCAUAGAAAGUUCUGUCUGCUAACACUACUUCUCUUCAUCUCUAGCUAGCCCCAAUUAACAAUCUUCUGACUUACCUCUGACAGAGGCAAGUUUUAUUUUCCUAAAAUAAACUGUGCAAAACAAUUUUAGCCAGAGGAUCUGUGUCCAUAGAUUUUCCCGGUCCUUAGGAUAGCCUUGAAAGUAGAGGCCAGAAAAACUUUUCUUAACAUCUCCAACACCUCCAUAUUUCUCCCCGUCCAAAACUCAGAAACUUCCUCUGACUUUUCCCCACACAUAAACAGAGAUAAAAUAUAGAGAAUUGGUGAGCUUGGGUCUCAAACAGUAAUGGUCAAAAUUCAAACUCUGUCAACAAAAUCUUCCAUCUUCUAUUUUUAAUUUUAAGUUCAUCUUAAUUCCUGAAAAAAUUAAAUAAAUAAGGUAUUGUUUGUGAAAAA